GACGAACGCUGGCGGCGUGCCUAAUACAUGCAAGUAGAACGCUGAAGGAGGAGCUUGCUCUUCUGGAUGAGUUGCGAACGGGUGAGUAACGCGUAGGUAACCUGCCUGGUAGCGGGGGAUAACUAUUGGAAACGAUAGCUAAUACCGCAUAACCGUAGAUGUUGCAUGACAUUUGCUUAAAAGGUGAUAUUGCAUCACUACCAGAUGGACCUGCGUUGUAUUUGCCAGUUUGAGGGGUAACGGCUCACCAAGGCGACGAUACAUAGCCGACCUGGGAGGGUGAUCGGCCACACUGGGACUGGGACACGGCCCAGACUCCUACGGGAGGCAGCAGUAGGGAAUCUGCGGCAAUGGACGGAAGUCUGACCGAGCAACGCCGCGUGAGUGAAGAAGGUUUUCGGAUCGUAAAGCUCUGUUGUAAGAGAAGAACGAGUGUGAGAGUGGAAAGGUCACACUGUGACGGUAUCUUACCAGAAAGGGACGGCUAACUACGUG
rnacentral:rRNA from 1 species